GGCGGUUACAGCUCAGUGGUAGAGCACGUGCUUAGCAUGCACGAGGUCCUGGGUUCAAUCCCCAGCACCUCCA
rnacentral:tRNA from 1 species